GUGCAAUUUUAACAAUAUUAUGCCUGAGUUUACCAUGUACACUACAUCACAUUUUACAGAUCACUGGAUCUACAAAUACACCAAACAUUUAGUAACAGGCACAAUAUUGUCAAAGUUAACUGAUGUUUCUAG